GGCGAGAUGGCCGAGCGGUCUAAGGCGCUAGAAUCAGGAUCUAGUCCUCCGGGGCGUGGGUUCGAAUCCCACUCUCGUCA
rnacentral:tRNA from 1 species